UGGCUAUACUGCAGUCGAGCGAACAGAAGGGAGCUUGCUCCCGGAUGUUAGCGGCGGACGGGUGAGUAACACGUGGGUAACCUGCCUGUAAGACUGGGAUAACUCCGGGAAACCGGAGCUAAUACCGGAUAGUUCCUUGAACCGCAUGGUUCAAGGAUGAAAGACGGUUUCGGCUGUCACUUACAGAUGGACCCGCGGCGCAUUAGCUAGUUGGUGGGGUAAUGGCUCACCAAGGCGACGAUGCGUAGCCGACCUGAGAGGGUGAUCGGCCACACUGGGACUGAGACACGGCCCAGACUCCUACGGGAGGCAGCAGUAGGGAAUCUUCCGCAAUGGACGAAAGUCUGACGGAGCAACGCCGCGUGAGUGAUGAAGGUUUUCGGAUCGUAAAGCUCUGUUGUUAGGGAAGAACAAGUGCGAGAGUAACUGCUCGCACCUUGACGGUACCUAACCAGAAAGCCACGGCUAACUACGUGCCAGCAGCCGCGGUAAUACGUAGGUGGCAAGCGUUGUCCGGAAUUAUUGGGCGUAAAGGGCUCGCAGGCGGUUUCUUAAGUCUGAUGUGAAAGCCCCCGGCUCAACCGGGGAGGGUCAUUGGAAACUGGGAAACUUGAGUGCAGAAGAGGAGAGUGGAAUUCCACGUGUAGCGGUGAAAUGCGUAGAGAUGUGGAGGAACACCAGUGGCGAAGGCGACUCUCUGGUCUGUAACUGACGCUGAGGAGCGAAAGCGUGGGGAGCGAACAGGAUUAGAUACCCUGGUAGUCCACGCCGUAAACGAUGAGUGCUAAGUGUUAGGGGGUUUCCGCCCCUUAGUGCUGCAGCUAACGCAUUAAGCACUCCGCCUGGGGAGUACGGUCGCAAGACUGAACUCAAAGGAAUUGACGGGGGCCCGCACAAGCGGUGGAGCAUGUGGUUUAAUCGAAGCAACGCGAAGACCCUUACCAGGUCUUGACAUCCUCUGACACCCUAGAGAUAGGGCUUUCCCUNCGGGGACGNGUGACAGGUGCGUGCAUGGUUGUCGUCAGCUCGNGUCGUGAG
rnacentral:rRNA from 2 species